AGAGCAGUAGCUCAAUGGAAGAGCGCUUUAAUGGCAUUAAAGAGGUGUGGGUUCGACUCCGGCCUGCUUUC
rnacentral:tRNA from 1 species